GGUGGGGUGGCUGAGCGGUUGAAGGCACUCGACUUGAAAUCGAGCAGACCCGCAAGGGUCUCAGGGGUUCGAAUCCUCUCCCCACCG
rnacentral:tRNA from 1 species